GCGAGUCUGAAUAGGGCGAAUGAGUAUUUGGUCGUAGACCCGAAACCAGGUGAUCUACCCUUGGUCAGGUUGAAGUUCAGGUAACACUGAAUGGAGGACCGAACCGACUUACGUUGAAAAGUGAGCGGAUGAACUGAGGGUAGCGGAGAAAUUCCAAUCGAACUUGGAGAUAGCUGGUUCUCUCCGAAAUAGCUUUAGGGCUAGCCUCAAGUGAUGAUUAUUGGAGGUAGAGCACUGUUUGGACGAGGGGCCCCUCUCGGGUUACCGAAUUCAGACAAACUCCGAAUGCCAAAUAAUUUAACUUGGGAGUCAGAAUGUGGGUGAUAAGGUCCAUAUUCGAAAGGGAAACAGCCCAGACCACCAGCUAAGGUCCCAAAAUAUAUGUUAAGUGGAAAAGGAUGUGGCGUUGCCCAGACAACUAGGAUGUUGGCUUAGAAGCAGCCAUCAUUUAAAGAGUGCGUAAUAGCUCACUAGUCGAGUGACACUGCGCCGAAAAUGUACCGGGGCUAAACAUAUUACCGAAGCUGUGGAUUGUCCUUUGGACAAUGGUAGGAGAGCGUUCUAAGGGCGUUGAAGCAUGAUCGCAAGGACAUGUGGAGCGCUUAGAAGUGAGAAUGCCGGUGUGAGUAGCGAAAGACGGGUGAGAAUCCCGUCCACCGAUUGACUAAGGUUUCCAGAGGAAGGCUCGUCCGCUCUGGGUUAGUCGGGUCCUAAGCUGAGGCCGACAGGCGUAGGCGAUGGAUAACAGGUUGAUAUUCCUGUACCACCAUUAUUCGUUUUAAGCGAUGGGGGGACGCAGUAGGAUAGGCGAAGCGUGCUGUUGGAGUGCACGUCCAAGCAGUGAGAUUGA
rnacentral:rRNA from 1 species